CGGCAGGCCUAACACAUGCAAGGUCGAGCGGUAGAGAGGUGCUUGCAUCUCUUGAGAGGCGGGCGGACGGGUGAGUAAUGCCUAGGAAUCUGCCUAGUGGUGGGGGAUAACGUUCGGAAACGGACGCUAAUACCGCAUACGUCCUACGGGAGAAAGCGGGGGAUCUUCGGACCUCGCGCCAUUAGAUGAGCCUAGGUCGGAUUAGCUAGUUGGUGAGGUAAUGGCUCACCAAGGCGACGAUCCGUAACUGGUCUGAGAGGAUGAUCAGUCACACUGGAACUGAGACACGGUCCAGACUCCUACGGGAGGCAGCAGUGGGGAAUAUUGGACAAUGGGCGAAAGCCUGAUCCAGCCAUGCCGCGUGUGUGAAGAAGGUCUUCGGAUUGUAAAGCACUUUAAGUUGGGAGGAAGGGUAGUAACCUAAUACGUUGCUACUUUGACGUCACCGACAGAAUAAGCACCGGCUAACUUCGUG
rnacentral:rRNA from 1 species